UCCGUGUUAACCACGGCAGUCUCUCUAGAGUGCCCAACUUAAUGAUGGCAACUAAAGACAAGGGUUGCGCUCGUUGCGGGACUUAACCCAACAUGUCACCACACGAGCUGACGACAGCCAUGCAGCACCUGUCUCUCUGUCGUAUUGCUACGAAGUCCGUAUCUCUACGUAUGUCAGAGGAUGUCAAACCCAGGUAAGGUUCUUCGCGUUGCUUCGAAUUAAACCACAUGAUCCACCGCUUGUGCGGGCCCCCGUCAAUUCCUUUGAGUUUUAAUCUUGCGACCGUACUCCCCAGGCGGGGUACUUAGUGCGUUAGCUACAGCUCGGCGGGGGUCAAGACCCACCAAACCUAGUACCCAUCGUUUACGGCGUGGACUAC
rnacentral:misc_RNA from 1 species